rnacentral:misc_RNA from 1 species
AUAGGCUACAAUACAAAAGAACAAGGUCUCAAAUUCUGAGAACUAAUGAGGAUGGAAAAGUCCAGAGUUCUUUUGAUUUCUGGAUAUGCCUUGGGGAAAAAUCCUGAUAUUUUACAACUUAUGCAUGACAUAUGAGUCAUAUUUUAUGUGGUUUCUUUUUGAUAUCUUCUUUGUUUAAUUAAAUUCUCUGUUUCAUGCUAAAGUCAAUCAACAAGAAAAU